ACGGCUCAGUAACACGUAGUCAACAUGCCCAGGGGACGUGGAUAACCUCGGGAAACUGAGGAUAAACCGCGAUAGGUCACUACUUCUGGAAUGGGUAAUGACUCAAACCUAUAUGGCCCCUGGAUCGGACUGCGGCCGAUCAGGCUGUUGGUGAGGUAAUGGCCCACCAAACCUGUAACCGGUACGGGCUCUGAGAGGAGGAGCCCGGAGAUGGGCACUGAAACAAGGGCCCAGGCCCUAUGGGGCGCAGCAGGCGCGAAACCUCUGCAAUAGGCGAAAGCCUGACAGGGUUACUCUGAGUGAUCUCCGUUAAGGAGAUCUUUUGGCACCUCUAAAAAUGGUGCAGAAUAAGGGGUGGGCAAGUCUGGUGUCAGCCGCCGCGGUAAUACCAGCUCCCCGAGUGGUCGGGACGUUUAUUGGGCCUAAAGCAUCCGUAGCCGGUUCUGCAAGUCUUCCGUUAAAUCCAGCUGCUUAACAGAUGGGCUGCGGAAGAUACUAUGGAGCUAGGAGGCGGGAGAGGCAAGCGGUACUCGAUGGGUAGGGGUAAAAUCCGUUGAUCCAUUGAAGACCACCAGUGGCGAAGGCGGCUUGCCAGAACGCGCUCGACGGUGAGGGAUGAAAGCUGGGGGAGCAAACCGGAUUAGAUACCCGGGUAGUCCCAGCUGUAAACGAUGCAGACUCGGUGAUGAGUUGGCUACAUGCCAACUCAGUGCCGCAGGGAAGCCGUUAAGUUUGCCGCCUGGGGAGUACGGUCGCAAGACUGAAACUUAAAGGAAUUGGCGGGGGAG
rnacentral:rRNA from 1 species